rnacentral:rRNA from 1 species
AUUGAACGCUGGCGGCAUGCCUUACACAUGCAAGUCGAACGGCAGCACGGGUGCUUGCACCUGGUGGCGAGUGGCGAACGGGUGAGUAAUACAUCGGAACGUACCUUAUCGUGGGGGAUAACGCAGCGAAAGCUGUGCUAAUACCGCAUACGCCCUGAGGGGGAAAGCGGGGGAUCGCAAGACCUCGCGCGAUUAGAGUGGCCGAUGCCUGAUUAGCUAGUUGGUGGGGUAAAAGCCCACCAAGGCGACGAUCAGUAGCUGGUCUGAGAGGACGAUCAGCCACACUGGGACUGAGACACGGCCCAGACUCCUACGGGAGGCAGCAGUGGGGAAUUUUGGACAAUGGGGGCAACCCUGAUCCAGCAAUGCCGCGUGAGUGAAGAAGGCCUUCGGGUUGUAAAGCUCUUUUGUCAGGGAAGAAACACCGGCUCUAACACAGUCCGGGAAUGACGGUACCUGAAGAAUAAGCACCGGCUAACUACGUGCCAGCAGCCGUGUAA